rnacentral:rRNA from 1 species
UGAGGAAUUUUGCGCAAUGGGGGAAACCCUGACGCAGCAACGCCGCGUGAGUGAUGAAGGCCUUCGGGUCGUAAAGCUCUGUCAAGUGGGAAGAACCUGCCCUGUGCUAAUAUCACCGGGCACUGACGGUACCACUGAAGGAAGCACCGGCUAACUCCGUG